AGUGCUUCUCAGAACAUGGAGGACUCAAAGCGUCAGGGAGGACUCUUGCUGAUGAGAUCCUUAUAGGAGAACGAGCGCAGAGGCCCAGGCAGAAGAACCCUCAAGGAUAUCCACGCCCUAAAUUUGAGCUAUGGCUAAGGUUAUGUGCCUUGAGAUGGGAGAGCACUCUGUCCCGAGGAUCUGUAUCACCGAAGGCUGCCCAGCCUAACCAAUGUGUCUUCAAAGGCAGGAACUUCCUCUUCUGGCCGUAGGGGAAGAAGCAGCAAGGAUGCAGCGCAUCUCCUCCAGCGUUUAAGACACCGCAGAGAGCUUUGAGGCAAGGAUGCUUUAUCUUCUAAAGGCCAGUAGUAGCUUUCAGGGGAAUAACCAAGAAGAAAUAAAGUGGGGACAGGAGGAAACUUAAUUCCUCAACCACAUAAAACUUAGUUUUGUCAAUAUCUGGGAAAGGAAAGAAGUUACUUGCUACAGGCUACAGAGAGAGCUAUACUGUGAUUUUAACCUGAAGGGGCCCACAUUAAACUUGUGACUUGUUAAGUACAAAAUAAAAAAUUACCACUGUUGGGGGCUAA